AAAAAGAAUAAUAAUUAAACUGUCAAUUGUUCUUGAACAAUUGAGAGGUCUUUCCUUUUGUAAUGUAAAAUACAUGUUCCAACAGACGUAGAAUGUAUUGAAAAGGUCAAGGUCAACCAUAAAAAGCUCGAAAACACACUAAAAAUCCUUUAUAUAAGGUUAAAAACACUAAAUUCGCACUCUGGGACAUGACCUUGACCUUUGACCUUUUGACCUUUGGCAAGGUCAUUAAUCCCCA
rnacentral:lncRNA from 1 species